CCUACCUUCGACGGCUCCCUCCCUUGCGGGUUAGGCCACCGGCUUCGAGUAUUGCCGACUUUCGUGGUGUGACGGGCGGUGUGUACAAGACCCGGGAACAUAUUCACCGCGGCGUUGCUGAUCCGCGAUUACUAGCAACUCCACCUUCAUGGAGGCGAGUUUCAGCCUCCAAUCCGAACCGAGACCGCUUUUUUGGGAUUCGCUCACCCUCGCAGGUUUGCAGCCCUUUGUACACAGCAUUGUAGGACGUGUGCAGCCCUAGUCAUAAAGGCCAUGAGGACUUGACGUCAUCCCCACCUUCCUCCGGUUUAACACCGGCGGUCUCGCUAGAGUCCCCGACAUGACUCGCUGGCAACUAGCGACAAGGGUUUCGCUCGUUAAGGGACUUAACCCGACAUCUCACGACACGAGCUGACGACAGCCAUGCAGCACCUGUGCACGUUCCACCCGAAAGCGUGGCCCGGCUUUC
rnacentral:rRNA from 1 species